rfam:Triticum urartu cultivar G1812 contig148804, whole genome shotgun sequence.
UAUCUACUCCCUCCGUUCCAAAUUACUCGUCUCAGAAAUGGAUGUAUCUAGAGCUAAACUACAUCUAGAUACAUCCAUAUCUGCGACAAGUAAUUCGUAAUGGAGGGAGUACUUA